UUCUAACGUGGAUCCGUAAUCCGGGUUGCGGACAGUGUCUGGUGGGUAGUUUGACUGGGGCGGUCUCCUCCUAAAGAGUAACGGAGGAGCACGAAGGUUGGCUAAUCCUGGUCGGACAUCAGGAGGUUAGUGCAAUGGCAUAAGCCAGCUUGACUGCGAGCGUGACGGCGCGAGCAGGUGCGAAAGCAGGUCAUAGUGAUCCGGUGGUUCUGAAUGGAAGGGCCAUCGCUCAACGGAUAAAAGGUACUCCGGGGAUAACAGGCUGAUACCGCCCAAGAGUUCAUAUCGACGGCGGUGUUUGGCACCUCGAUGUCGGCUCAUCACAUCCUGGGGCUGAAGUAGGUCCCAAGGGUAUGGCUGUUCGCCAUUUAAAGUGGUACGCGAGCUGGGUUUAGAACGUCGUGAGACAGUUCGGUCCCUAUCUGCCGUGGGCGCUGGAGAACUGAGGGGGGCUGCUCCUAGUACGAGAGGACCGGAGUGGACGCAUCACUGGUGUUCGGGUUGUCAUGCCAAUGGCACUGCCCGGUAGCUAAAUGCGGAAGAGAUAAGUGCUGAAAGCAUCUAAGCACGAAACUUGCCCCGAGAUGAGUUCUCCCUGAGACUUAGAGUCUCCUGAAGGAACGUUGAAGACGACGACGUUGAUAGGCCGGGUGUGUAAGCGCAGCGAUGCGUUGAGCUAACCGGUACUAAUGAACCGUGAGGCUUAACCUUACAACGCCGAAG
rnacentral:rRNA from 1 species